UAAAUGAAAGACAGAACAGCACAUUCUGGAUGGAGUGCUAAUUCUAAAAUCAGGAAGUGUGAGUUUCCUCAUCUGAAAAAUGGGGAAGUCUUUCCAUUUGAUCUGCAGUACUCCCUUCAAAAGGGCUUUUGUGAGCCUCAAAUGAGACAAUGUGUUUAGAGUGUUUUGCAAACUUCGAAGUGCCAUAUAAAUGUGGAGAUAAAGGAAAGAAACCGUAAGGGCAAAUGAGACCUCCUACCUGGAACACAGUCAGAAUACCAAAAUAUUUGGGAUAUCAGCCAGAAGACACUAUGAGACCCAUUAAUUUUGAUGAAGUGUAUUUAAACCAAGG